rnacentral:rRNA from 1 species
GACGAACGCUGGCGGCGUGCCUAAUACAUGCAAGUAGAACGCUGAAGCGAGGAGCUUGCUCUUCUUGGAUGAGUCGCGAACGGGUGAGUAACGCGUAGGUAACCUGCCUUGUAGCGGGGGAUAACUAUUGGAAACGAUAGCUAAUACCGCAUAACAAUGGAUGACACAUGUCAUUUAUUUGAAAGGGGCAAUUGCUUCACUACAAGAUGGACCUGCGUUGUAUUAGCUAGUAGGUGAGGUAAUGGAUCACCUAGGCGACGAUACAUAGCCGACCUGAGAGGGUGAUCGGGAGCAGUGGGACUGGGAAACGGCCCAGAAUCCUACGGGGGGCGGCAGUAGGGAAGCUACGGGAAUGGGGGCAAACCUGACCGAGCAACUCCGAGAGAAUAAAGAAGGUAUUCGGAUCGAAGAGCUCUGUUGUAAGUCAAGAAAGGGUGUGAGAGUGGAAAGUUCACAAUGUGACGGUAGCUAACCAGAAAGGGACGGCUAACUACGUG